GACCGCGCUAGGCUCGCUGGGACGUGUAGUCCCGGGGACACUCCGUCAGUACUAGGCCUCAAGACGAUGGCGGGAGGGGAAGAGUCGGGGAGGGGGCGGGUCAGUGUCUGCCAUGGGACACUGCCAGAGGCGGAGCUAUUGAGAAUAUUAAUAUUCAUUGAGGUCUAGGCUCAGGCUGAAGACGUAAUAUGAGACUGGUGGAUUCUUGUUCCAUAGGACUCUGUUACCCCUGAAGGGGUGGGACUGUACGUGAACUAGCUGGAGAACUGAAUCACAAGUAGUACACUGCUGCAACAACUGUUUGCAGGGUGUGCUGGAAGAGAAGACCCUGCUAUGCCAUUCUGGAUUGUGCUGGCUGGGAAGGAAACUGAAGCAAAGGGAUGAAGUGACUUGCCCAGGCCAAUGCAGUGAAUCAGUAGUGGAGCUGGGAUCAGAAUUCAAGACCUCCUUAUGCUCUGUGUUCAAUCUCUCGUACCGUGCCGGCUAUAUUGAAGUAGUUAUAGCAACACAAAGGUACUGUUCACACUGCGAUCAAAAUUCUGUCAUGUUUCCAAAAAAAAAUCACAUUCAAACACUUUUGUGAAUAGGGUACUUUUUUUUGCUUAGAUUUUAAUUCCUUGUGCAUUAAACUGUGUGUAAAACAACUGAUGAAAAAUCCCUUUAAAGCCCUGCAUAGACGUGGCCUAAGCUGGAGCAAACCCUGUUUUGAGUUCAGAAUCUCAGUUAUUUGUUAGGAUUUGGGUAUAUAUUUUGUAGUGCUAUAUUGAAGAGAGAGAUUGUGUGGGGUCUUUAUCGGUGUUUUCAAUCAGAGCAUUCAGAGCUUCUGUGAAAGUACUGGAGUGAGAUGGUAAGGGGGUUAGUGCUAAGAAAUUCCUGAUACAGUUGUUAUAGCCUGGGAGCUGAAGUUUCAGUAAACUGGGAACAGAACUCUGCAGAAAAAAGACAAAGCCUGGGGCUGUAUUAUUUUUUUCCCCUUUAAUUGCGAUUUUGGUUUCAUCCAAAUUAAUAGCUUACAUCAGCUAUCACAGAGGUUCUUAUUUGUUUUCAUAUGAGGUAAGAGAUUAAAAAAAUACAUUAAGGGCACAAAUUUGCAGUCAUCACUCAGGAAAAAUUCCCAUGCAGACUGAGCAUUCACUUUUUAGGAGAAUGUUGUGCUUUUCUAUUUCUGCAACAGCAUUUCUUUUAAAUUUCAGCUAAUUAGCCAAUUAUAAGUACCCCAUAGCCAUAUUUAUGACAUUAGUAUGUACACUGAGCAGAACAAGCUGAUUUUUUUUUUUUUGUUAUAUGUUUUGCA